rnacentral:rRNA from 1 species
UGGGGAAUAUUGCACAAUGGGCGCAAGCCUGAUGCAGCCAUGCCGCGUGUGUGAAGAAGGCCUUCGGGUUGUAAAGCACUUUCAGCGGGGAGGAAGGCGAUAAGGUUAAUAACCUUGUCGAUUGACGUUACCCGCAGAAGAAGCACCGGCUAACUCCGUGCCAGCAGCCGCGGUAAUACGGAGGGUGCAAGCGUUAAUCGGAAUUACUGGGCGUAAAGCGCACGCAGGCGGUUGAUUGAGUCAGAUGUGAAAUCCCCGGGCUUAACCCGGGAAUUGCAUCUGAUAAUGGUCAGCUAGAGUCUUGUAGAGGGGGGUAGAAUUCCAUGUGUAGCGGUGAAAUGCGUAGAGAUGUGGAGGAAUACCGGUGGCGAAGGCGGCCCCCUGGACAAAGACUGACACUCAGGUGCGAAAGCGUGGGGAGCAAACAGG